GUCCACGCCGUAAACGUUGGGAACUAGAUGUGGGGUCCAUUCCACGGACUCCGUGUCGUAGCUAACGCAUUAAGUUCCCCGCCUGGGGAGUACGGCCGCAAGGCUAAAACUCAAAGGAAUUGACGGGGGCCCGCACAAGCGGCGGAGCAUGCGGAUUAAUUCGAUGCAACGCGAAGAACCUUACCAAGGCUUGACAUAUACGAGAACGCUGCAGAAAUGCAGAACUCUUUGGACACUCGUAUACAGGUGGUGCAUGGUUGUCGU
rnacentral:rRNA from 1 species